CGGUGUACGACUAGGUCGCACAGGUCACACACCCGCGUUGCAUAUUCCAGUCAUUAAUUUUGACAAGCGCAGGCAUCGCGUGCUGAGUAUUUUUUUCGUUCUCGAAUUGUCCGCCUCAACGCUAUAUUUUUGUUGUGUCUGUCUUCAUACUCUUACGCUUGCCCAAUUUCAUUUUGUACUUUAUUUGUUUGGCUCCCUACUCCUUUCUUCGCCUCUGUCGUGCAUCUUGACUCUUGUUCUAGAGGUGGUAGAGAGCGAGUUUGACUCUUCCCCGCUUCUUCCACGCGCUUUGUAAAGGUGUGCUCUCUGCCUUGUUCGAGGAGCGCACGCUCAUGCUGUCGACAACCUCAUCGUCCGUUUCGACACCUGCUACUGAAGCAACUGGCAACUCGCUUGCAUCACCCUCGAAUGCCUCAUUUAGCAGCGCGAUGCCGGAUACCGCUGAUGACCUCUCUGCAUCUAGCUCGGGAGAGGAAAUCCUCGUAAUUCCAGUGCACACCAUUGUGGACAAGGUGACCCCUUUGUGCGGUCUCUCUGUCGCCGAACUGCAUGCUCUCGUUCUCCGAUACGACACAGACGGCGUCGGCGGCCUCACGGAGCCUCAGUGGUCGCUCUUCUGCCACGAGAAUCGUCACGCUUUUUCGUCCCUGGGUGAGGAGCUUUUGGAUUUCGACCGCUCCGGCGAGUACAGCGUCCUCGUCGUGAAGCACGGGUACGAAGGCACAAGUAAUACAAACGCGCCGCGUUCAUUCACUAAGGAAGUAAUUCGGUUCAUCGAGAGUUUCGCUGCCGGCGGCAUCGCUGGCGCUGUGAGCAAGACUGUCAUCGCGCCUGGUGACCGUGUCAAGAUCAUUUUCCAGGUGGAACCGACACGUCACUUUAGCCUGCGCGAGGCUGUCUACCUCGGCGUGGAGACAGUGCAAAAGUUUGGCAUUACUGGCUUGUGGAUCGGCAAUGGCGCGACGAUGCUCCGUGUCGUUCCAUACGCGGCUAUCACCUAUGCUUCGUUCGACUUCUACCACAGCAAGCUGCGCUUCAUGUUCGGUCGCAGCAAUCCAGACGGCUCGUCCGACGAGGCGCGGGCGGUGACGCUGCGUUUUAUUAGCGGCUCGCUGGCAGGGGCCACUUCGACUACCUGUACCUACCCGCUGGACCUCAUGCGUGCCCGAUUUGCAGCGCGUAGCAGCUCCGGCAAGCGGCGCUUUCCUAGCUAUAGCGCUGCUUUCAAAGAAGCCACAUCUAAGCAAGGCUUUCUCUCCCUCUACGGCGGCCUUUUCCCUACGCUUGUGGGCAUUGUGCCCUACGCGGGCUGCAGCUUUGCGUGCUUUGAGACGCUUAAGCACUACAUUGUAAAAGUGUCUAACCUGAAGUCUGACAAGGACAUCCCAACAUAUCAGCGACUGGUAGCUGGCGGAUUUGCAGGCUUGCUCGCGCAGUCGGCGACAUACCCGCUUGAUAUUGUGCGGCGGCGCAUGCAGGUCACCCCACGGCGCUACUCGAGUGUCAUCGACGCAUUACGAACGGUGUAUCGGGAGGAAGGGAUUCGUCAGGGGCUCUACAAGGGCCUUGCCAUGAACUGGAUCAAAGGUCCCAUUGCCACCGCGACGAGCUUCACUGUGAAUGAUCUUGUAAAGCGACGCACACGCAACUACUACGAGACGACGGUCGUGUACUCGUCGCGCCACAACAUUGUCACGCUGCCGGAGGCAUUCCUCUGCGGCGGGGUGGCUGCCGCCACGGCCAAGUUCUUUUCCUUGCCUUUUGACCGGCUCAAAAUUCUGUAUCAAGUGGGCAUGACCGAGAAAACCUCGGCAAAGAAGGGAGCGCAGCUGCUGUACCAAGUCGUCAAGCAGAGUCCGAACAUGUGGACGUCGGGCCACGUCACAAUGCUGCGCGUGGUACCGUACGGUGCCUUAACGUACUGCUUCUUCGAUAUGUUUCAGUUAUUGGCGGAACGGUUAAUGUACUCGCAUGUGGCCACACCGUACACCAACUUCGCCGCCGGCGCUGCCGCCGCGUCGCUUGGGACGACGAUCGUGUACCCACUCGAUCUUCUGCGUACGCGUGUCGCUGUGAACGCCGUUCCCAGCUUUCAGUCAUAUUUCUGGCUGCUGCGCGCCAUGGCUCGACGUCACGGCAUCGGUUCACUUUGGAAAGGCUGCUACUUUUCCAUGAUGGGCGUGGGUGUUCUCGGCGGCAUCGGGUUCGCCUUAUAUGACUACUUGAAGGAGCGAUUCGGAUGCCAUACCUUUUUGCAGUAUAUGGCUGCUGGCGCGACGUCGGGGCUGGCUGGCUCCGUGAUAACGUACCCACUGAACGUCAUGAAACGUAAUCGCCAGGCGGAGCGUGUCGUGUACGCGCAGUUGGGCACGAGCUCCGUGCAAUCGCUGCUCAAAAGCCCUAAAACGGUUGCCUUCCUCUACCGCAAGAUGCCCUUCUCUUUCACGGUGAGUAGCCUUACGUUUGGUAUCUCGUUCGCAGUGAACGACUGGUGUCGAGAUGUGAUCGCGGCGACGCGCAACGAUAUGCUGCGCGAGAUGCUGUUCCUUCCAUCGUUUGCGGUGUCAAAGUCGAUGCUGUCCCGCGGUGACACCGCCUAGAGCCGCUGCCCGCCCCCUGCACGUACGUGGCGAGCCAGGGCGGCCACGGCAGACGACAACAAAGGGUGUGGUGAUCUUGUUUUCUACUUUGUUUGAUCCUCGCGCGUGUGUCUGCCUCUGCCGCGUCCUUUUAUUCUUGUCCCUCACGUGUAGAUGUGAAUGUCUUUUUUUUUGUUGGCUUAGGAGGAGGUUUCUUUCUGUUUCUUUUUUCUUUUGGAUAGGCUUCCUCGCUUGGUCUCUCUUCGCCUCUUCUCCGUUCUCGACGAGUCACGACUUACACCUCCCAUUUUAAAGGUUGUGGUUCUGCUCCCUCGCUUGCUUGUCUCCUAGAGUUACUUCUUAUCUGGCAACUAUCAUUCAAUCCCCCUUUCCCUCUUACAGACGAAACGCUGCUCUUUGCGAUCGGCGUACGGGUUUGCUCGCCCCUUUCUUGGUGUGUGAUGGACCUUGCUUGCCCCCUCCUCGCACACGCACACACGCACGAAACAAGAGUGUCUCUUUCCUCAUUUUCCUGAUGCAGCUGUCAAACAUGUUGCAGGGGAGCAAUGGCUCUGGGAGAGGUGUCCAGAGAAUGGGAGCUCCGAGCGGGAUGAGAAAGGUGUGGUGCUCUCGGGAGCCGCUGCAAGGAGGGUGAGGUCGCUGCAGCGGUGAGGCUUUCGUUGUUGCUCCAACUCGCAAUGGUGGCAAGGUGGUGGAGGGCUGAGGUAAGGGUCGGGGAGGGGAAGUCACGGCACAUGGGCGUUGAUUAGGACAGCGGCGCCGUCAAAGCUUCACAGCAACCUCCAAAAAAUUCGUAGAAAUAUGCGCAUCAAGGGAUGUGAGAGAGCCCGCUGCGCCUCCACUCAUUUCUUCGUAAUCUGGCUGAAGUGGUCAAACAGCAGCCACACCCACACUUAUCUGUUUCUCUCUUUUUUUUUCUCCCUCUCUUCGACGUUCUGAUGUCAUUUAAUGUGCUUUAUCGUUUUCCCACUUCCCCUCUCGUUUCUUUCCGCAGUUCAAAGCCCCUCUAUAACUUCUUGUUUGCAUGUUUCCUUGCCUUUUCUCCCCUUCUCUGUGUACGUGUUACCGUGUGUCUGUGUGUGCGUGCGUGUGUUGGCUUUCUCUUUUUUUUUCGAACCAUUUUUCCGCUGGCUGAUUGUUGUCUUUCCCUUUUUUUUUUACUUUGCUGGCUGCAGACUGAUACGUUGACGCGUUUGUUCGCUUUCUCCCGCUUCUCUGUGUGUUUGCUUUAGUGUGACUGUGUGGGCGUGACAGAAAAAGGGAAUUCGUGGCGCUCCACUACCUCUGCUGUGCUCUACCGAGGGUGUGUAUGGUGGGUGAGGGCGGGAGGGGUAGGAUGUAGCCUUGUUGCUGACCGCGCUGAAGAGGUAAAGUGCUCGUUUGGUAAGGCCAUUCCGUGCACACACCUCAGGAAAUAAGAUGACUUUGCUAAAAGACACACCGACGCUAACGAUAUAUUAUGCCAGCCAUUUUCUUAUACGUUUGUAGUCUUCCGACAUGUGUGCGUGCAUGCGUGCGUGUGGGUGCAGCAGUAUUUUCGGGAGCUGACUCCUAAAGAAACGGUCAAUCUUUUCCGCCAUUUCGCUUUGUGCUAGUAUGCAUGAUAACGAACCAAGCGGAGUAGAGGGGAAAGGUGAAAGCAGAAAGCGAUACACUUGUGUCCCGUUGUACUCCAAGGGAUGGGCAGAUUAACGGGAGAACAGUUACAGGCAGUUGUGGGGCCCCGCGCACUCCGCACGGCUUUAUUUCUCUUUCCUUUGCUUGUCUCUCCACGGCUUCCUUGCCGGCGACUCCAUCUUGGAGUUUGUGGAAGAGACGAACAGAAAGAAGACUCGCGAAACCACUACAAACAUCACCGCCGCCAGCACAGCGGCAACGAAAGAACACACGGGCAUCAUGGUCAAAGCCAUGUCAAAAGGUCCCUCUCCCCCCUUUUCCCCUUUUCCUUCCGUUUUUUUUUCUCUCCAAAUGUUUCUCCACCCACAUUCUGCGACAGCGGCGUUCGUUUUUUUUUUAGGUGCGGUGCUUGGACUCCGAUGUAACUCCGCUCAUCGUCGUCUCUCCCUCCUUUGCAGCAGCAUUCAUAUUCGGUUAUACACCCCCUCCUCCUCCCGCAAACCUGGAAUGUCGAAAACAAAGGAAAACAUGAGUUGAGAAGUACCCGUCUGCUGCUAUUGUCUCCGGUGUGUUGGCUCUCCUCUCGGUUUAUUUUUCCUCUUGUUUUGCUUUCUUUUCUUGUUUCCUGUUGCUGUGUUGGUCGGCUUUCGUUCUGUUUGUAAAAAAAAAACAAAAGUGCCGUUAAUAUGAUUUCCUCUGUUGUUUUCCAUUUAGAUUUCUUCAUUUACUGUGUGUGUGUGUCGCCGCGCCGCAGUCUUUGUCUGCGUCUCUCGCCUUCGCGUAUCUGUGCGUGCGCGCGUGUGGACCACCACAGCAAUGUACAUCCCGCUCUUGACUUCCCCUCGUUCAGUUUUGUAUGUUUUCUUCCUGUUUGCCACUCUUUUUUCCCUUUCAAAUGCGCUUCAUUUUCUAUUACUGCCUUAUUCGCUGUGCUGCUUCUUGGUUGCAUAUCACUCUCGCUCUUGUUUCUUCGGUGCGUGUGUGUGUUUCAGCGAGGUUUCACUGCUGUCAUAUGGAGCCGGGUGGCAUACGCCGCAUUUUAGC
rnacentral:misc_RNA from 1 species